GAGAGAUUUGGGAAGCUUUUGGAGUGGGUGGGAUGGAAAAAUAUCGUAUUUAUUUUUUUUCCUUAAAAGGCAAAAAAGAUAAGAAAUGAGAUUUUUCCUAUUCCACCCAUGCCAAUGGCUUCCAAUCAUUUACUC